AGUUGUAUAUUUGAGUCUUACAUCUAUACUAAUCUAAUAUUUUAGCCUUCUAGAUAAAAAAGGGAAAAACCUAAGUUCCAAUCUGGCUUUUCCAAUUUUGUUCCUGUUUAAUAGGAAAAGACAAUCAUCACCAAGGUUCUUACAAUGAUGGAGCUCAGAUGAAUGGCAUUCAGCCAGAAGAAAUUAGUAGGUUGCGAGAAGAAAUAGAAGAAUUAAAAAGUAACCAGGAACUUUUGCAAAGCCAGUUGGCUGAAAAGGACUCUUUGAUUGAAAAUUUGAAAUCUCCAACAUCUGGCAUGAAUGAGCAGUCUUCAGCAACAGCCUCAGCUAGAGAUUCUGAACAAGUUGCAGAAUUAAAACAGGAGGUGGCAGCAUUGAAGGCUCAGCUAAACGCAGUCUGUAGAGAUUACACGACUACAGACAGAAAAGCAUGACUUACUACAGAAAACAGAAGCAUUUUCAAAAUCAGUUCCUGUACAAGGAGAGAGUGAAAAUGUAAUAGCUGCUAAAACUACUGAUGUAGAAGGAAGACUAUCUGCAUUACAACAAGAGACCAAAGAACUAAAGGUUGGCUUGGUUUUU